GGACUACAAGGGUAUCUAAUCCUGUUCGCUCCCCACGCUUUCGCGCCUCAGUGUCAGUAACGUCCCAGCGAGCUGCCUUCGCUAUUGGUGUUCCUCCUGAUAUCUGCGCAUUCCACCGCUACACCAGGAAUUCCACUCGCCUCUUCCGUACUCUAGUCAUGCAGUAUCCACCGGCUUUCAAAGGUUGAGCCUUUGACUUUCACAGCGGACUUACAUGACCACCUACGCGCGCUUUACGCCCAAUGAUUCCGGACAACGCUUGCUCCCUACGUAUUACCGCGGCUGCUGGCAC
rnacentral:rRNA from 1 species